GCUUGGAACGCGCCGACGUGGGGUCCCGGGCACAGAUGGGGCAGGGACUAAGUGGAGGUGGUGAGGAGGGGGGCCGGGCGCGGCUCCGGGUCCCCUCUGGCCCCGCCCCGGGACCGCCCGCUCUAGCCGGACCGGGUGGUAAACAGACGCCGUGAUGUCACGGCGCCGCUGACCUGUGGCUGAACCCGGAGCUGUAAAUGAGACGCAAGGUGCCAGCAGCCUCCAGCCACACACGCUCCUCCGCGCCGGCCCGAGGUUACCCCAGCUGCACACGCGGACAGGAUGCUGCAAACGCCACCAGACAUUGCAACACGCAGCCAGUCUGCUGGCCGCCGCGUGAACCGUCCCGACAGCCCUCCGCCGCCCCCAUGCAGGCACCGGCCCAGCUGGAGCGCCUCCCUCCUCCGGAGCUCCCCUGGAGGCUGGCAGCACCCACCCAUCUGGGGACUGCUCCUCUAGGGACCCUGUCUCCCCUGCCCAGGGGGCCUCCCAAUCCAAGGGCUGGGCCUCUGGGGUCAACUCUGGGUUUUCUUGGGAACAGAUUAGGGAAGUGGCUUUCUUGGCUCCAGGCUUUCUGGGAAGCUCAAGCCCUUCCCCUUGGCAGCCCGGGGCUGUGGAGUAGCCUCCAGGUAUAAAGACCCUGAUGGCUGCCCACGGCCUGCCUUGGGAAGCAGGGGCGGUUUAUUCCCCAAGCUCCCAGAGCAGCCCUGGACUGCACAAACCCUUGGCAGUGCUCAGCGCAGCGCCUGAACUACCUUUGGAAUGGAAAGCAGCCUGGCUGGGGCCUCAAGGAAUCUGCUCUGGAGUUGAUUUGCUGUGUGACUUUUAGAUGAGUCACUUGGCAUCUCUGGGCUUCACCAUUUCCAUCUGGGGAAGUGGAGAAAAUUGAAACUGGCCUCCCUGUGCUAGUGUGAGGAAGGUCAAAAGUGCAAGAAAAUGCUCACCCAGCGGCAAGGCUUGGUCAGAAACCUCGGGUGCUGAGGCCUGGCAUGGAGAAUGGGGUCUUGCUCAGAGAAACUCAGGCAGCCUUCUCCUCACCUGUCCCCUCAGUUUGUCCUCUGGGGUUUCUGUGGGCAGCUGGAGCUAUAGGGUUUUGAGAGUGAUUAUUCCUCCAGGGCCCAAGGAGUCCCCAUACUGAUUUCCCUAUCUGGACCCGACUUACUCUGCUCUGCUCUAAACUCCUGUGGAGCACAGCAAGGCACAGGCUAGCCAAUCCCAGUUUCUCCUUCUCCCUCACUUCACCCCGUUUUCUCUUCUUGACAGCACUUUGUCACUAUCUGAAAUUGUAAGAGUCGUUCACUUGUUUUUGAGUAUCUCCUCCCUUCCCAAACACAUGCACUGUCUAGAAUAUAGGCUCUCCUGAUAAUUCCUGAAUCUGGUUUGGUAAACAGGUGCCGGAGGAGUGUGAAUGAAUGAAUGACAUAAUUUUGCAUUCCUCGUGAAAUGGCAGCAGUAACCUGCCUUUGAGGGGACCUCAGGAGGGAUGACGUUGAUGGCCCGUGUGCUUUGGCAAGUCAUUAGGACUAGCCACGUAAUUUGUGGGGCCCCGGGUUCAAAAAUUAUAAAGAAUUUCAAGAUGGUGACAGCAAAGCCUUAAACCAAGUGCAGGGCCUUUCUGAGGGCAGGGCCCAGUGGGAAGGCUGGUUGUCACACAGAGGCACUCAACAGCAACACCCAGUGGGAACUGAUGCCAAGUCACGAGCCUUCCACCCUUCCCAGGGCGGCAGGAAGCACAGCUCCAGCACAGCAGUCCCAUGAUGCAAAACGUGCAACACACCCCAGGUUUGCACACACACAGGGCGGCAGAGGCAUAGGAGAUACAGGGUCAAGAGUAAUAACAACAGAGCUCAUCAAAGUUAGCAUUUAUUUGGGAGCUUCUCUGAGUUCAACAGUGAGGUUCAAAGACCCUUAUUCUAGAAUCCAAAAAGCUCUAAAAUCCCACAUUUUCCUUAAUUAUGACCCAUACUUAUAGAGGCAAGCCCUAAUUAGAACAAUCAUGAAACUUCCAGUCUCUUUACCCCACUGCUGUGAUUCUCACUUUUUGUUUGUUUUUUGGAGACAGAGUCUUACUUUGUCCCCUUCAGUCUAGUGCCAUGGCAUCAUAGUUCACAGCAACCUCAAACUCUUGGGCGUAAGCGAUUCUCUUGCCUUAGCCUCCCGAGUAGCUAGGACUACAGGUGCCCACCACAACGCCCAGCUAUUUUUAGAGAUGAGGUCUCGCUCUGGCUCAGACUGGUCUCCAACCUGUGAGCUCAGGCAAUCCAGCUGCCUCAGCCUCCCAGAGUGCCACCACGCCCGGCUCUUGUCGCUGUGUUUAAUUGUGGGGGGUGGCCCCCGGCCCCUGCACUGAUCAUCACUAAGUGUACCCGGCCUGUGUGUUGUGUUCCACUUCUAAUGUCUAAAACAUCUGAACUAUGAAACACAACUGGCCCCGAGGGUUUCAGGUAGGAGGCUGUGGAUCUGAGCUAUUAGCCCAUUUUAGAGAUGGGGGCACUGAGGCUCUGGAAGGGCAAGUAAUUAGUCAAGAGGACAGCCAGGAAAUUGCUGAGUGGAGACCCCAACCCUGCUGGGCAGUACCUCUCAGAGCUGCUACAGAGGUGAAAAUUCAAUCAUUGUUUUAGAAAAGGAAAGGUAAACUUUUUACUGGAAUGGCUCUUUAAGCAUCUCCUUCAUACCCAAAGUGAAAUUCAGAGGUUGCUGAACUGGUGUGUCCAGGGAGAUCUCCCGCUAAUUAAACAUAAUUUAUGGACCAGCCUCCAAGGACAAGCCUUAAAUUACUUGCAAGCUGUGCCAGGGUAACUAUAGGCUAUUAAUUAGGAAUCAGUUUAAUCUUUGCUAGGACCAAGGUCAACUGCCUUGGAGUUGACCCUUCUGGCUGACUGGCCUCAAGCUAUCAGGCUAGGGAUCUGGCCCAGGGGGCUGGAGGAUUCAGGGGAAGUGGGACAUUGCAACGGGAAAUAACUGGGUCAGCACCUCCUGCAAAGGCCAGGAUGCGGGGAGCAAACCCAGACCUUGGCCCUGUGUGCUGGGUAAGGCAAGGUUUUUCCUCAGCACCAGCCUGGAAGAAAAUGAUUUUUAGUGGUCCUUGGAGAGCAUCCCUCUAACAUCAGAGAAUUCUGUUGGGGAACACAAGGCUCCCCUCAUCUUCCAUUAAUCUGGUCUGGUCAUGCCUCCUGUAGAGAGCCUUCAAUGGCUCCCUAGUGCUCUCCUGAACACGUCUAGACCACCUCCAAUCACCAUGCCUGUGAUGUGCAGUCUUGCCCAUCUCUCCCCACUCACAUUUUUGUUCCGACCAGGCCAAAGUCUAUUGGGUUCCCCCUGCCUGGGGUAUUUUCCUUUAGCUGCCUCUACCUCAUCCUUAAUGUCUCACCUCAGACCCUUCUCACCUCCUAGAAGCCAGACUGCCCGGACUCCCAUGGCUGCCUGUGCUGUGUUACCUACAGCAAGCAUUUAAACUCUCCGAGCCUUAGGUUUUUUAUAAUCUUUAAAGUGGGACCAGAAAUGGUUCCUAUAUCAUAGCAUUGCUCAGAGGAGCAGAUCAGAUUGUCCAUGUACAUUAUUUAGCACGUGGGAAGCACUUUAUUAACAGUGGUGUAAAGACUGAUUGGAAGCCUCUGUCUGUGCUCAUAGCUGCCUCUCACCAUGGUGUGCCCCAUCAAAGCACCCAUCCCACGACAGCUGCAGGCUAUAGUGCCUACAUGUCCCUGUGACAUAGGAGAGACCCCCGAAUGCCCUUCACUCUUGUCAAAUCUAGCCCUGUAGGAAGCCUUCUGGGAUGGUCCAGAGUUUUCUCUCCUGUGGGGGCACCACGUCCCUCGUUUUCUGUUCUAUUCUCCAAGGGCAAACCCUCCCUGAUGACCAGUGGCAUUCUAGUCACAGCAGGACCAUGACAUUGUUCAUUCCUGGUGAAUCCACGUGGCUCCUGGGACAGAGUUUUGUAUUCAGCAGGUGCUCAGGGCAGACCCAACCCACAUCUUCUGAUCCCCUGCCCAGCACGCUCAACAAUCUCCUGGAAUGUCCCCAGCGUCCCUGGGAGGUAAGGACAAGCACUGCCACUUUAUAGGUGAGAAAACUGAGGCUCAGAGAGUGUGGCUGGCAGAAGCACGGCCCCCACAAGGUGCUCAUGUCCUAACCCCCAGAACCUGUGAUUACGUUGCUUCCGCGGGAAAGGGGUGGCAAAGUGACAGAUGGAAAAAAAAUUUGUGAAUAAGCUGCCUAAGAGAUCAUCCCGGACUAUCCCAGUGGGCCCAGUGUAAUCCCAGGGGCCUUUUACAGUGGACAGGUCAGGUGGAGAGGUGACUGUGGAGGAAGGGUCAGAUGGAACUUGGUUGACUUUGAGAUUGGAGGAAGAGACCACACACCAAGGAAGCCAGAAGGCCUUUAGGAGCUGGAAAGGGCAAGCAAAUGGGCUGUCCCAGAAAUGCUCAUGGAGGAGCACAGCCCUUCUUGUUAGCCCUGGGAGGCCCAGGUCAGACUUCUGACCCCCAGAAAAUAAAUGAGUGCUGUUUUAAGCCUCUGAGUUUAUGGUAAUUAGUUACAGCAGAAGCUCAUACAGUGGGGUGAAGGGCCUGGUUCAAGACCUUCAGCCAGAAGAGCUGUGAUUAAAACCCGAGUCUGUCUACCUUCAAGUCUGUGGUCUCCCAAAGGUAUAGCAUCCUUUCCCCGUGCUAACCUACCAUCAUCACUUAUAACAAAUGAAGCAACCAUUCCCAUCUUAAGGAAACACCCUGGGGACUUUUGUAGAGAGUGCAGUCACACAUGAUCCGCAGCCUUACCCUGCUGGCCAACAUUCCCCAGCACUCAUUUUGCACUGGGGACUUAAGAUACAUUAUUGCUUUUAAUCCUUGUUUGACAGAUGAGGACACUGAGGCUCAGAGAGGUCUAGUAACUUGCUCUGGGUCACACAGCAAGUAAAAGAGCCAGCAAGUGAACUUUGGCAUGCUUGACUCCUGAUCUCAAAACCUGAGUUGCUGUGCUGUAUGGGCUCCUUGGGAGAGAAAAAAACACACAUGCACACACACACUAUCACACACUGACACAAAUGCUCCAGAGACGUCCCCAGUCCCGAGGCAAUGGAUCUGCCAGCUGAGGUGGUGUGAGCCUUCACAGGGCACACUGACCCUGUGCCCUGCCAUCCCUGAAGGACCCCGGGCCCCUGCUCUGUGAUCAUGGGGAAGUGGCCUGGAGAAGCCAGCAGACUCCUCUUUUUUGGCUGAUGCUAAAUGAGGACAUGGGAGGAGCCCACAUGGGCUCCAUGUGGGUGUGUCAGGCAACAUGAAGGUCACACUGCUCUCUGUGGUCACACUGGCCCCAGCUCCCCAUAGUGACUGCUACUGUGCCUGUGAGAAACGCCAGGGCAUUCUGGGACCUGGGUGCCCUUAAAGGAGCCCAGAGGACCUCUCCCCACCUUGGAAGGGUGCGGGUAUCAGCUCUGUUCUGCUCACCUGCAUGUGGCUGGAGGGGAGGGAGGUCCACCUCUCACACCCAUGCAAACAGAGCUGGGAACCAUGCCCUAGCAAGGGGCUUCCUUUACUUUAAUAUCAAGUGCUGGUAAAUCUUCUAGAAAAGUUUCCGAAGUUGACAGCCUGCUGCGCAUGGGGAUGGCGCAUUUUGCCUCUUUGAACUACAAAGUCCCUGAAGGCAGAGAGGUUUCAGCUCAGCAGACAGAAGUUUAUUGCAUUCUUUUUACCCAGGGGUGUCAGUAAAUGACCUGAUAAGGUCUGCAGGAGUAGAUGAGGACUGCCUGAUACAGGCAGGCCUGGGACUUUUGAUAGUUCCCACUUAGGAUAACUGAAAACGAGAUGAUGUCCUUCCACAAGGAGGUAUCCUGGAUGUCUGCACCUGACCCCCUUGCUCCUGGUCAGAGCACCCCAAUUUCCCCUGUAGGAGCCACCUCUACACUCUGGAAUCUUGCGGCAUGACUGGGGCUGGUAUACCCCUGGCUCAGAGGUUGGCUCAGAGGUUGGCCACAGCUGGCCAAUUAGAACACCAUCUCCAGUGAUGGCUUCUGACUAACCCCACUCACUGCCAGGAAAACUCAAUUACUGGACACUUCCGGAACUGCUGGGAAAAGGAUGCGUGCAGGGGUGAGCAGCUCUGGGGCAGAGAGGGAGUUCUGCCUGAAGGUGAUAGGAGGCGAAGGCAGCAGAGAGACUAAGCCUUGACAGCUCAGAGCCCCUGCAGCCAUGGCUGAGGUCAGACCUACCCAAGGACAUUCUGGUCCAGCCAUGGCCGAGGUCAGGCCUACCCAAGGACCUUCUGGUCCAGCCAUGGCCGAGGUCAGCCCUACCCAAGGACGUUCUGGUCCAGCCAUGGCCGAGGUCAGGCCUACCCAAGGACAUUCUGGUCCAGCCAUGGCUGAGGUCAGACCUACCCAAGGACAUUCUGGUCCAGCCAUGGCUGAGGUCAGGCCUACCCAGGGACGUUCUGGUCCAGCCAUGGCCGAGGUCAGGCCUACCCAAGGACAUUCUGGUCCAGCCAUGGCUGAGGUCAGACCUACCCAAGGACAUUCUGGUCCAGCCAUGGCCGAGGUCAGGCCUACCCAAGGACCUUCUGGUCCAGCCAUGGCCGAGGUCAGCCCUACCCAAGGAUGUUCUGGUCCAGCCAUGGCCGAGGUCAGGCCUACCCAAGGACCUUCUGGUCUCACGAGUCCAUAAACCUGUUGGAUGGCCCCUUCCAGACCCCCUGACAGGUGAGUGGGAGUUGAUGCUGUGUGACCCAUUCAGACACUGUGGUUGCCAACAGCACACACUACAGACUCCGCCAGGGGCCGUCGACAUGAUCUCUUCCACGAGCAGAGACCACGGGUUCAGAGCCUGCUCUGUUGCUUACCAGCUGUGUGAGUAAGUUACUGACUCUCAGAGUCUAGUCAGUAAGAAGAUAACAGCACCCAUGCAGAAGGUGAGAGGAAAGUGACCUUGUUACGUGUGAAGUGCUUAGAUCAGUCCCUGGCGCAUAGUAGGUACGCAGCAAUCACUGGCUCUGACUAGCUAUGAUGAGUAGGCCAUGCAUUCACCCAGGCAACGCAUUCAUUAAGUGCCUACUCUGUGCCAGAUGCCGUGCCAGGCGCCAAAGAGACGAGCGAGAAAGACAAACCCUCUGUCCUCCCAGAUAGCCACAAGCGCCACAAGCACCCUCAGUUGCUAUGGCAACCCCUGACUUUGGCCUCAGCCCAGCCCGGACCAGAAGAUGAAAGUGACCCAUUCCCUGUGUAGGGGAAAUGGGGGAUUGUCACGCGUGGGCAGCUGAGACCAGAGCGGUGGCUGGGCCCCCUCGCCAGCCUCCACCCUUCAGCCGCAGGAUGGUCUGCAGUGGACCAACACCUGCUGAGAAAGAAAGGGGCUGUGUCAGUGACCUUCUCACCAACGGUGAGGCUUUGGGGCUGGGGUUGCCAAGUGACGCUCUCCCAGGGCUGGCUGCUUUAGAAGUGGAGAAGGAUGGACAGAAGUUUUUGAAUCCUUUCUGGAAGAUGUGUUUGGGAGAGGCUGUCUCAGCCUGAAGUUGAGUAUUCAGGGGUACCAGCUUGUGGACUCCCCAGGGGUGAAGGAGGGGCUCUGGCCGAGGCCUCCACAGGACCCAAGGCUCCCCCCAUCUGGGGUGGGAGUGGGGAGCCCUCUCCUGAGGGGCAAAGGCACAAGUAAGUGGAGGGCAUUUCAGCCCACAAGCUACAUCGCCCCGGAGUAAGCACCAAAGAUUGAGGAACCAAAGAGGUGACAUUCAGCAAAUCCAAGUAAGGGUCACUUGGGGAGAGGGAGCGUGCUGAGUAAUUUCCUAGAACAGUUAUUUUCAAGCUUUAUUUUUUUUCUUCACUUCAAAGCAAUGGCAUUCUUUCAAAACGCACUGGAAAUCCUAUGUGGAAUUUUAAGCUACAAAACAGAAGUGACGCUGAUCUAGUCAAAUGGAGGUCAAGGUCCCUCAGAACCCUACCUGUUCCACCUCCCACCCGGCCCCACCUUUUUGGAGCCUCUAAGGCAGUGGUUCUCAACCUUCCUAAUGCUGUAACCCUUUAAUACAGUUCCUGUGGGUCGCGACCCACAGGGUGAGAACUGCUGCUCUAAGGUGCUCUGGAGCCACUUUGAAAACUUGUUCUAGAACCUCCAUUGGUGCUGAAGUCUGCACUGGGCCUGUGGGGCGUAGGUGCUGGACCCCUCAAAAGUGUAAAAAUGUACAUUGUUGCUCAUUCUUCUUGGGACAACAUUCAUACUUUCUCCAGAUCCUUGAUGAGCAACAGACUGACUUACCGUAAGCCCCUUAGUUGCAACCUCCUUCAGGAAGCCUUCUAAGUUUCCCUUAAUUUACAGUGAUUUCAGCCAGCGGCCGUGGCUCACACCUGUAAUCCUAACACUCUGGGAGGUCAAGGCAGGUGGAUUGCUUGAGGUCAGGAGUUGGAGACCAGCCUGAGCAAGAGCAACAUUCCAUCUCUACUUAAAACAGAAAAACUAGCCAGGUGUUGUGACAGGCACCUGUAGUCCCAGCUACUUGGGAGGCUGAGGCAGGAGGAUCGCUUGAGCGCCAGAGCUUGAGGUUGCUGUGAGCAGUGACACCAUGGCACUCUACCCAGGGCAACACAGUGAGACUCUGUCUCAAAAAAAAAAAAAAGUUUACAGUGAUCUUUCUCUUCUCUGUCCGAUUCAAGCACCCAGGUCACUUGGGAGGAUCCAGCUUUAGUGGCCCCAGAGUGGGCUGGAGGUUUACUCGGUCCUCAGCAGCGGGGUCCUGGCACAGUCAGGCGCUGCACUAGCUGUCAGAUGAAAGAAAUUCAACUGUGCCACUCUCCUGCCUUUCAUUCACUUAACUCUUUAAAAUAAACCGAUUACCCAUGACUACUUUAAUCCUUUGGCAAGGAUCCCACUCAUUGUAUGCAAAUACUGCCACUAGGUGCUCUAAAGCGUGUUUGUCUAAAUGUGGAUUUAAAGAUAUCCCUGCCUGCAUCCGGGUGACUCACCGCUUAUCAAACUUCUCUCCAGAACCCUCUAUGUACAGGCCCCAUUAUUUAACAGCUUGUCUCCUGACCUCUCCAUAACCCCAAGUGAGGGAGGCCAGGCCAGGCUGAGAUUAUCUGUCCCAGAGGGGAAAGCUCUAGUUUUGAAGGCAGGAAUCCCGGCUAUGAAGUCUUCCUGCAGCUCUGCACCCCAGGGCACCUUACUUCACCCACACCUCAGAAAUGGGCAGAUCACACCUGCAGGCGAGAGAAUAAAUGUGCAAAAGGACUGCACUGUCACCCAGAGUACUCAGUCAUGUAUGCGACCAGUCACCUAUAUGGCCACCAGCACGUACAGUGCUACUUCAAAAAUUUAAUAGAAAAUGAAGAUUAUGAAAAAACUAUGCAUGGAUACCAAAUUUUUUUGCAACAAAAUAAACUUGUACUAACUUGUUAUAAGGCGUCUGAAGGAUAUGGUUUGAGGCACCGAGAAGGCAUAAGACCUCCCUUUGAAAGGAGCCCCUAUCAGAGCAUAGUGAAUUCUGCUAAAAUUUAAACAAGAACGAACAUAAGAUUUAUGGUGAAGCUUGAGGGGAGGGGAGGAUGAAGGAUGAAAUGAUGGAUGGGGACAACACCCCAAAGAAAUCAGCAGUUUACAUGCAGAUAACUUGUUUUAAGAAGGUAUGAGAUGGGCGGCACCUGUGGCUCAGUGGGUAGGGCGCCAGCCCCAUAUACAGAGGGUGGCAGGUUCGAACCCGGCCCCGGCCAAACUGCAACAAAAAAUAGCUGGGCAUUGUGGCGGGCGCCUGUAGUCCCAGCUACUUGGGAGGCUGAGGCAAGAGAAUCGCCUAGGCCCAGGAGUUGGAGGUUGCUGUGAGCUGUGAUGCCAUAGCACUCUACCGAGGGCAACAAAGGGAGACUCUGUCUCUAAAAAAAAAAAGGUAUGAGAUGAUAUUGAAGAUGAAGUCAGAGGCAGCAGAUGGUCCACAUCAAUUUUGGUGGGGGGAAUCAAUCUCAUUUGUACCCUAAUUGAAGGGGAUUGAGAUUAACAGCAAAACAACAGCCAACACCACAGAGAUGGUUCAGCUAACACAAUCGGACUGAAAAAUUAAAGUUGUGCAAACUUACGGGCACCCAAACUUGUGCCCAGAUCAGCGGCAGACAGGAGCGGAGCUUUCAGUGGAAAUUUCAAACAAGUAGGAUCAAGAUCCUAAAACACUUCCUUGAAGAAUCGUAACAGGAGCUGAAACAUGGAUUUACCAGUAUGAUCCUGAAGACAAACGCAGUGAAAGCCACAGCUACCAAGACAUGGAUGUGGUCCCGUCAGAGCAACAGUGGACGGGUUGAGAGCAAAGGUCAUGACCACAGUUUUGGGGGAUGCUCAAAGCACUUUGCUUGGGAGACGCCAUCUUCCCGUAAUUCAUCAAAAUGACAAACACAAAGGGAAAGAGGAGAGGCCCCCGAUACAUGUUCUCUAGGCCUUUUAGAAAACAUGGGGUUGUUCCUUUGGCCACAUAUAUGCGAAUCUACAAGAAAGGUGAUAUUGUAGACAUCAAGGGAAUGGGUACUGUUCAAAAAGGCAUGCCACACAGAUGUCACCCUGGCAAAACUGGAAGAGUUUACAAUGCUACCCAGCAUGCUGUUGGCAUUGUUGUAAACAAACAAGUUAAGGGCAAGAUCCUCGCGAAGAGGAUUAAUGUUCGUAUUGAGCAUAUUAAGCACUCUAAGAGCCGAGAUAGCUUCCUGAAACGUGUGAAGGAAAAUGAUCAGAAAAAGAAGGAAGCCAAAGAGAAAGGUACCUGGGUUCAACUGAAGCGCCAGCCUGCGCCACCCAGAGAAGCCCACUUUGUGAGAACUAACGGAAAGGAGCCUGAGCUCCUGGAACCCAUUCCCUAUGAAUUCAUGGCAUGAUAAGCAUGUAACAUAGCUCACAGGAGUACUAGUGGACCCAUGUUUUUAGGCGCAAGAACCUAUUUAUUCCCCAUGAGCUCAUGGCAUAAUAUGUGUACAGCAGGGGCACACAAGAUAACCAAUAGUCCCCAUGUAACAGUGAUACAAGGUGCUGGGACCUAUUUCCCACGAAUUCAAAAGUCAUUCAACACUUUGUCACAUUAAAUGGCAAGGUGCCUCCCUGAGCUGCUGGAACCUCUUCCCCUAUGAAUUCAUGGCAUGGUAGAUACAAAUAAUAGCAUAAAAAUGUUUCUCGUUCAUUCACUACAAGUGUGUUUUUUUUCCCCCCCAAAGAAGUAUUAAAGCAAAUUUUAAUGUGUCCUAAAAAAAAAAAAAAGCACUUUGCUUAUUCACUUCCUGAAGGGCCAAACCCAUCUGUAUAUUAAAGCAUGCUUUGAAAAAGUUAGCCAAAGCCUAAGCAGAAAAAUACCCAGAAAAGCUUCCUGAGAGAGGCCUUCUCCACCACAACAAUAUUCUUGGUUGUUCCUCUCAUCAAUCAAGUGCAAUUUUGCAAGAGUUUCGAUGGGAAAUCAUUAGGCAUCACUUUAUAGUUCUGAUUGUUUUUGUUUCCUAAUCUCAAAAAACAAUCUUUAAACGGCAUUUGCCUUCAGUUAAUAAUAUAAACAACUUAGAAUGGGUACAGGCGAUUGCACUAAUGUACACAGCUAUAAUUUAACAAUAAAAAAAUAAUAAUAAUAUAAACAAGACUGCAUUGACAUGGUUAAGUCCCCAGGUCCCUCCGUUCUUUAGGGAAGGACUAAAUGGCUGGUACCAUUGCUUUAAAAAGUGUCUUGAAUUUGAUGGAGCUUAUGUUGAGAAAUAAAGUUUAUAUCUUUUCUUUUUAUCUUUUAAUACCAUUUCUCCACAAACUUUUUGAAGUCCCCUUGCAUAUUACCAUGGUCAUAUAGUGUACCACUAACAUGUAUAUUACUAGGAGCCGGAAGAAGCCAUCAGUGUCUGGUUCGGGAGCCACCAGAGUCUGAGUUAGGAUUCAGGAUGAAGGAUGUGAACAUGGGCCUGCCCCUCCCAGCUCCCCCCACCACCCCCUGCACUGGGCAAAGGAAUGACAUAACUGCCCAAGGACCCUGGUAAGGUUACGCUGAGAAGGGUAGUCCUUUUUUUUUUUUGAGACAGAGUCUCACUAUGUCACCCUCAGUAGAGUGCGGUGGUAUCACAACUCACAGCAACCUCAAACUGUUGGGCUUAAGCGAUUCUCUUGCCUCAGCCUGCAGACUACAGGCUCCCACCACAAGGCCCGGCUAUUUUUUUGUUGCAGUUGUCAUUGUUGUUUAGCUGGCCCGGGUUAGAUUUUUUUUUUUUUUUUGUAGAGACAGAGUCUCACUUUAUGGCCCUCAAUAGAGUGCCGUGGCUUCACACAGCUGACAGCAACCUCCAACUUCUGGGCUUAAGCGAUUCUCUUGCCUCAGCCUCCCGAGUAGCUGGGACUACAGGCGUCUGCCACAACGCCUGGCUAUUUUUUGGUUGCAGUUUGGCCGGGGCCAGGUUUGAACCCGCCAACCUCGCGGCACCCUACCGACUGAGCCACAGGUGCUGCCCUGGCCCGGGCUAGGUUUAAACCCGGCAGCCUUGGUGCAUGUGGCCAGCACCAUAACCAGUGUGCUACAGGGGCCAAGCCAGGGUUGUCUUUUUUUAAGUGUGGGAUGAUUGAUGCUGUCAAUCCCUUCCUCCUGUCCCCCAGCCCUGCCUAGAUCACUGUCCUCACUGAUGUCACUCUGGUGAUGAUGACUCAUAAAAUCCAAGCGGUGGAAGAGACCCAGGAGGUUGUCCAGAACCUAACCUCCCAGGAUGCAGGAACCUUACAUCACGUUUGCUUAAAACACAGCCUGUUCAUUUGCAGAAAGCUCCAAAGGGCAGGAAAGUGUUCCUGCAGCAGGAUCCAGAUCUGCUUCCCGAGUCCUCUCUACAGGCCUGGCGCAGCCUUCCAGAACCAUCUGGAACAGAUCCCAGGUGCUUGUCAUAUUGGAAGGCAGCUGGUACAAUCUUCCUGCCUCUUAAGCAGUCAACUAAACUCUCAAACUUGCCAGAAGUCAUGGCUUCUUUCUGCCAUCCUGAGCCCAUUCCUUGUACAUCCUCCAGAUACUCAAAGACCCUCUCUAGGUGUCAACUGACUCAUUCUGAUCACAACGCUCCAGAAGUUCUACCACAAAGUAGAACAGAAAAACGCUGCCUUCGUUCUGGGCACCAACACAGUUGAUCUUAUUAUUAGGGGGAAUGAAGCAUUAUCACCAUUAAAAGUCAGCUUGCUGGAGUCAACGCACCCUUCCAAAGCAUCAGGGGCUUUUUCACUCAGGAGACGACCAGGAACACUCAGUGCCACAGGAGAGAAUCUUGUUUAUGGGGCCCUCAAGUCAUCUCCAGGGCCUAGCUUGCUGAAUCAAUCAGUGGAGUAGACAUGGUCACAAUUCCUUGGAGCUGUGUUGACCUUGAGCUGGUCCUUACUCCUAACCUGAGUCACCUAUAAAAACAGCUCAGCACGCAGCCACGAGCAGGGCUGCCCAGUAGAUACCCCAACCCCCUGGAAGCCCCCUAGCUGGAUGACUCCCACCCACCCCUACAGCGACACAUAGGCCUGCCUGGAUGCCUGAUGGCCCUCAGCCGACAUGCUUCCAUCUGGAUGAUAAGGCUACUGGGGGGCCCUCAGCAACUUCUAAAACUCCACUGGAAUGCGACAAGCAUGCCCUGAGUUUUGGGAAACUCUCAGAGAAGAUAGUGAAGCAAGUCUGGGGUGAUGCUCUCAGGGGAGCCACGGGAACCCAGUGGCCUCCUAACUGGUCUCCUGCCCCUGGCCUGACACUCUCCCCCAUCCCCUGGCUGUGCUCCCCAGCACAGUAGCCAGUGAUCCUGCUAAGUAGGUUAGAGCAGCAGUUCUCAACUGCUGUGGGUUGCAACCCACGGGAACUGUAUUAAAGGGCCACGGCAUCAGGAAGGUUGAGAACCACUGGGCUGGAGCAUGACACUGGACAGCCCCAGCUUCCCUCAGAGUCAGCUGGGCCCACCUGUCUGUGCUGGAAGCUGCUGGCCUCAGUUUCUCCUCUUCCCACCUUGUUCACUGCUCCAGCCGCACUGGUCACCUCUUGUCCCCCAAACGCCCAGGCACUUUCUCUCCUCACAGCCCUCACUCUCCCUGUGUCUGUAAUACUGCUGCCCUUUCCACCAAGUCCUGGCUUCCUUCAGGUCUUUCCUCUUCCCCUGCUCAGGUGGCCUUCCGGAUGCCCCAUCUAGAAUUUCAGCCUCCUCUUAGUCCUGUCCUGGCUUCAUUUGGUUUUUUUUUCCCUUAGCAUUUUCUAUGAUCUGAUGUGCUACCUAUCUGAUCUGCUUAUUAUCUGUCUGUCUCCCUCCGUAAAAUGUCAGUUCUACAUGGGUGGGGAUUGUCAUCUGCUUUGCUCCUUGCCACCUCCUAGAACAGUGCCUGAAAUGUAGGAAGUGUUCAAUAACUGUGCUGAAUGUAUAAAUAAGUGAAUGAAUGAAUGAAUGAGUUCCCACCAACCAUCUGACUGUGCCAAGGUCUAAAUAGAUUGACUUCUCACAUUUCCAUUCGGCUUCAACUGUUUCCUGAGCACCACAGUUCAUCUGAAUGAUAUGUUUGAAAUGUUUCCAUAAGUAUCUCAAAGACUUGUGUGUUUUUACAUUGUGUCUCCUGAAGGCAGCAAGGAGAACCAUCUCAUUGUCCUCUAGGGGUGGCCAUGCUUUUGUCCAACCAGAAGGGAGAAAAUGUUGGGUCUGGAACCUUUCCUGCGCUGAUACUCAAAAUGAUCAGGAUCAUUGAUGGUGGUGGCAGGUGGGGACAAGACUUUCCAGGAUGAAUUACAGUGCUUGUGACAAGCAGAUACAUUUCCUGGGUAGAAGUGACGCUGUCUCACAAACAUAGCUGAGAUCAUUUUCUCAAAGUAGAUAGCUUCCAAAAAUACCAAGAUAGAAACGAACCAGAGAAGGUAAUCACAACGAUAAAGAGAGCAGAAGGGUUCUGAACGGUCAUAAACAAAUGCGCUAGGCCUGGAGAGAUAAAAACGUAGAAGAGUUUGAAGUCUAAAUAAGAAUUAGCAGAGGGGCUAAGCAGACUGGAAAUGGAUUUGCUGCUAAAGGGUCACAAUUACUACUUAGAGGGAGCAUUCUCUAAAGUCCAGAUAGCCAGUUUGGUGAUUUGAGGGUAAAAAACAGAAAAUUUUGCUUGACAUGCUAGUUAAGGAACUUGGGCCCCUUACUCCCUUGAAAGCUACAGCUUGAAAACAUCAACAUCUUCUGUGAAAGUUGAAAUAAAUCCACUGUGGCUGCUGAGGGAGUUAGGGUGGGUGCAGGGCCUCCCGUGGAGGGAGGCAGCACAUUUUCCAACUCCGUUUUGCUUCUUUUUCAUUGGGUGGGAUCUGAUGACUGGCAAAAAAGGUUGAGAUCAUCAGUGGCAGGGAUGAGGACAAAUGCCUUUUUCCCCCCUGAAAGUCUCCUCCUCAUAACCCAGGGUGUUUAGACAUCCAUUGCUUUCCUGGGGUGAUGGGACCAUAAUAUGAGAAUUUUUGAGCACACCAGGAUCUUAGGGAUCACCCUGUCCCUUCUCAUUCUAUAGAUGUGUUUCUUAGCUGCAACCCAGAAAAGACAAUGCCUUUUCCAGGAUCAAGAACCCAGUGGCUGUCUGGCCUCUGCCCAGAAGAGCAAGGAAGCAGGGGGUGUGGUCCUAAAGGCAGACACACCUUUGUUCUCCAAGGGAAGGGGCUGGAGGAGGGAGAGAGAGCUGUUUGUUUAUUCUGAAGAGGGCUCACUUUGCAAGGUGCACUGUUUGAAACUCAAGGACCAGAUGCUCCAAGCUGAAAGACUUCUCUGGGAUGCCACUGGCAGGACAGGUGGCCGGCUUUCCCGCUUCCAGGCUGUAAGCAGGGUGAGGAUGGAGGGUCUGGGCAACUGCUCUCUCCCACUGCAGUUUUUUAUGCAGCUAUUUGGGCCUGAUGACUCCGGGUCCCAUGAGAUAACCUAUCUGGACCCUUUCCUCUCUUUCUCCCUUUUUCCACUCUCACCAGAACUGAUCCAACUCAAAGGCCAAGAGGGGAACUCCCCGCUUACCUCCCCUUCCCAUCAUUCAACAUUUUCUUGUGUUUCUUUUCCCCUCCUUCUGCAAUUCCAGCCAGGUUUAGUCUUUGAUGGGGUGGUUCCCAGAUUGCCCUUCUCACAUCUCUCCUGGCUGAAAUUCUUGAUCUUCUGAGAGGCUCACUCAAAUGCUGCUUCCUUCAUGAAGCUUUCCACGAGCCCUUGUUAUACCUGAACUGCUCCUCUGUGCCUCCCUGUGUAAUGCCACCCCCCCCCAUUCAUGUCUACCUGGAACAUCAGAAUCUGACCUUAUUUGGAAAUUGGAGGCGCCCCCAGCCCUCUCCAGCUGUCUCUGAUGUUCCUGGAUCACCCCUAAGCCCACCAUUCACAACUGUCCCCCAACCCACAUAGCCAUCUCCCAUAGUAAAUUCUCCAUCCACACAGCACUUGGUCCUUUGUCCCCAAGCUCAACGAGGCCCCAAACACUCUUUGCUGAAGGUUGGGGGGAGGGUGUCCCGAAGUCCACUCAGUGGCCCCAGACAGACUCAGGCAAGAAGCCAUGAUUCCAAAUUCCCCACCGUGACAGCAUGCAGAAGUCUCAAUAUAAGUAGCUCUCAAUAAUUGGACAGAUAAUGAUGAGUGACAGGGAGUACUUCUGGUCAUCCUGGUUUGGUCUGAUGACUAGACCUGGUGUGACUGGCACUGAAGUGUCACAGAUGCCCAGGGAUCCUGUUUUCAGUGACUCUGACACCAAAGGAAAUUCCAAAGAUCCAGUCUUUGGAGAUAUGACUAGUUAAGAUGCAAUCACCCCAGAUUUAGUGUGUGCCCUAAAUCCAGUGACUAGUGUCCUUAUAAGAAAAGGACAGGACAAGAGGGGAACAAAGAGAGGGAGGCCAUCUGAAGACAGAGGUAGAGAUUGGAGUGAGGCUGCCACACGCCGGGGACGCCAGGAGCCACCAGGAGCUGGAAGACACAAGGAAGCUUCCACCUCCAGAGUGUUCAGAUGGAGCUGGCCCUGCCACCCCCUUGAUUUCAGUCUUCCAGCCUCCAGAGCAGUGAGGGGAGACAUUUCUUUUAUAGUAAGCCACCCAGUUUAUCGUAAUCUGUUGCAGCUACCACAAGGAAGCUAACGUGCAUGGUGAUUUGUGCCUCCACAGUAAGCACCCGGCCCUGUCUCUGGACCUUCAUUCAUCUUUGCUAUGUUCUCCCAUGGGCUUAGAGCUAUGCCAAACACUUAACAGACAGGUGUAUUUGCUGGACUAGGACUCUCAGAGAUGCCUGACAAGGAAAUGAAUGGUGGACCUGGGCCCACCCCAGUGCUAGACUGGAAGGAUACAGGACUUGCUGGCUGGAAGUGAUAGGAAACAGGAUUCACAAACCCACUCACAGGGCUGGUUCUUGGUUAGUUGCUUUAGGAACAGGGUUCUGUACCCACAUACUCUAAUAUGUGGUAAUAGCAAGACACAUGGAACUCUGAGCCAGCUCACAUCCUACUUUCCUGAAAUGGUCCUUGAGUCCUUUAGAGGAGGGAAGAAGGCCCAUGUCCCCUGGCCCUGCCUCCCCCGGCCUGCAGUCACGGCUCGGGCCUCUAGUCCAGUCACAUGCCCAAUACUGAACCAAAGACUGGAACAGCCACUACAAGGCCAAACAAACAGUCCACUUCUCCCAGGCACUCCUGCCACAACCAUGUCAAACUCUGAGCUCCCUACUGUUCAAGUUAGUUUCCUGGGGGGUGGCCAAGAAUGGCCCUGAGCUUUGUGAAUGUCUUCAUGGGAGGAAUUUCAGGAGAGAAUAGGAAAUUAAAAAAAGGAAUGUAGUGGGGAAAAACUUGGCAGGAGCCUUGCCCCUGGAGCCCUAGCCACCACAGAUCCUGUCUCCAUGAACCUCAGUACACUGUGGGCAAGGUGAGGUAUCUCCUGAUUAGGAGAUUCCAAACUCCCCAUCUUUAUGUCCCUUUAAGAAAAAUCUGUAUUUGAUCCACCUUUGCAGCCUCAACUCCCUACCACCCACAAAUACUGCCAAAUCUUAUUUAACUCGAGGUCAUUACAUGAAACAACUGGGUUGUCAACUUCCCCACCCCAAGUAAAAAGCUAUCUCCUAGACAGGUUGGCUGUUCGUAGAGAGACUCUGGUGCUCUUUUUUCCCCUUCUUUUGGGCAUCCUUUCUCCCCACAGAUCCAAUCCCACCAGGCUAGGAAGGCACUCAAAAGCAGUCUCUGCUUCCAGCAAAGGGAGAGAGGAGUCAUCUGUGGUUCUACACUGCCGCCUGUCACUACAGGCUAGAGGUGCCCCCAGCCCUCUCCAGCUCUCUCUGAUGCUCCUGGGCCACCCCUAAGCCCACCAUUCAUACCUGUCCCCAACCUACAUAGCCAUCUCCCAUAAAUUCUCCAACCAAAUAGCACUUGGCUCUUUGUCCCCACACCCAACCAGACCCCAAAACUCUCUUUGCUGAAGGUUGAGGGGAGGGUGUCCCAAAAUCCACUCACUGGCCCCAGAUAGACUCAGGCAAGAAGCCAUGAUUCCUUAAAAAAAAAAAAAAAUAAAUAAAUAAAAAAAAGAAGAAGCCAUGAUUCCAAAUUCCCCACCGUGACAGCCAGCAGAAGUCUCAAUAAAAGUAGCUCCAGUAAUUGGACGGAUAAUGAUGAGCGACAGGGAGUACUUCUGGUCAUCCUGGUUUGGUCUGAUGACUAGACCUAGCGUGAUUGGCACUGAAGUCUCACAAAUCCCCAGGGAUCCUGUUUUCAGUGACCCUGACACUGAUUUAAGACAUUUCUAACUGGCAAUGGGGUUAUCCCCUGGAAGAGGAUGUCCACUGCAACGUAGGUGGGGCUGUGAUUCCCAGUACAUGAACUUGAAGGCUCCACUCGGCCACUAUCAGACCCACCCACCCCCCCAUGCCAUGUACUUCUUUCCAUUUAGGGUUGUUUAUAGUCAGUCAAGUUUUUCCAGAUUGACUAAGAGUUCCUCAUCUGCCUACUGCUGUCAGCUCCGAGAACAGUGCAAGAGACCCAGGACCGGGCCAGCUGGAAGACACAGAAGAAAGUCUCCGUGGGAUGCAGACAGCCAAGGAAUAACAAUCACACACAAUGGUCCCAAACCCACAUUCUCUCCCCGAGGACACCCACAUCUGCCCUCCUGAUGCCCCUCUGCAAAGGGCGUUGGGAGCAAUCACCUCAAGAAAACGAAACUGCUGAGAACAAGUGCUUAGUUCCCCUUCUUCUGGUUAAAAACACUUCCGAACUCCCCUUCCACUGUGAGGUCAAGCAGCUGUCCAAACCACCCAAGGAGAAGAGGGAGUCCUGGACAGCUGGACCCCUACCAGUGUGGCCAUGACAGCCUCCUGCCAGCCCGGCUAGGGAAGAGUUAAUCGGAUCAGCUUUGGCUGAUAGUUCAGGCUCCAAAGUUCAGUCCCCGUCAGAGCCACCCCGGAGGAAUUGUAAAUCUCAGGGCAGUAUUUAACAAAACAAAAGCAACCUGGAAUUACAUGCAGGUUUGGUUUUCUACAGUACAUAUUUACUUAAUCCCCAAGGUAUGUGGCUCCAUGUCAGAUCAGCUGGCUUUGCGGGCCCUUUCACCCCCCCUGGUUCACAACAGUUUAAGUUUCAAACUAAUUCCCUAUUUUCGCUCUUCUUUUUCACUGGGCUGACUGGAGACAGCUCCGGCCUGCCUCCCUCUCUCCCUGGCGCUCUGGUCACUGGCACGUUUGCCGAGAGGGCCGCUUUUCUCCUUGGCGAGGCCUGGCUAAUAGGACUGGACACAUAAAAGCCGGUCCAAUGGCCAUUUUCAGUGCACAGAAUGCUCCCUCCCUUCCCCGCAGAUAUUCCCGAUGUUUUACGAUGAGCUUCUGUGAAGAAAAAUCCACUGCAUGAUUUUGUUCGUCAAGGAAAGUUCUGUGCAUAAAUCCCAUAAAAUCCCAUAAUGUGGAGCCGACACUGAGCCUACCCAGAACAAAAUCUGCUAAUGAUCACUGCUUGCCAAGAGCCUGCAGAAAAUGAUCAGACAUGUUGCAACCCCCAUGCCUGCCUCCUGCCUAAGCCCUCUCUAAUAAGGACUCUUUUCAUGAG